rnacentral:rRNA from 1 species
AGCGAACGCUGGCGGCAGGCCUAAUACAUGCAAGUCGAACGCCCCUUCGGGGGAGUGGCGGACGGGUGAGUAACGCGUGGGAACGUGCCCUUUGGUUCGGAACAACACAGGGAAACUUGUGCUAAUACCGGAUGUGCCCUUCGGGGAAAGAUUUAUCGCCAUUGGAGCGGCCCGCGUUGGAUUAGCUAGUUGGUGGGGUAAAGGCCCACCAAGGCUACGAUCCAUAGCUGGUCUGAGAGGAUGAUCAGCCACACUGGGACUGAGACACGGCCCAGACUCCUACGGGAGGCAGCAGUAGGGAAUCUUGCGCAAUGGGCGAAAGCCUGACGCAGCCAUGCCGCGUGAAUGAUGAAGGUCUUAGGAUUGUAAAAUUCUUUCACCGGGGAAGAUAAUGACGGUACCCGGAGAAGAAGCCCCGGCUAACUUCGUG